rnacentral:rRNA from 1 species
UACGUAGGGGGCUAGCGUUGUCCGGAAUCAUUGGGCGUAAAGAGCGCGUAGGCGGCUAGAUAAGUCCGGUGUGAAAGUCACAGGCUCAACCUGUGAAUGCCGCUGGAAACUGUCUGGCUAGAGUCCGGAAGGGGCGAGUGGAAUUCCUGGUGUAGCGGUGAAAUGCGCAGAUAUCAGGAGGAACACCAAUGGCGAAGGCAGAUCUCUGGGCCGUAACUGACGCUGAGGAGCGAAAGCAUGGGGAGCGAACAGG